CCGUGCUAAGUGGGGAGGUAGCGGUGCCCUGUACUCGCAAUCCGCUAUAGCGAGACCGAAUCCCUUCUCGAGGCUUUAGCAUUUCAGGGUCUGACCUAGGUAAGUGGUGUUGACGCCCGGGUUCUGCGCAACGGGGACCUGUGAACCCUGUCAGGUCCGGAAGGAAGCAGCAGUAAGCAGUCAUUCUCGUGUGCCGCAGAGUCGCCUGGGCCGAGCUAACUGCUUAGGUAACGCCUGGGGUGCUAUUGCCGACAGAAGGUGCACGG
rnacentral:SRP_RNA from 1 species